UAGCUACCACUUACAGAUGGACCCGCGGCGCAUUAGCUAGUUGGUGAGGUAACGGCUCACCAAGGCAACGAUGCGUAGCCGACCUGAGAGGGUGAUCGGCCACACUGGGACUGAGACACGGCCCAGACUCCUACGGGAGGCAGCAGUAGGGAAUCUUCCGCAAUGGACGAAAGUCUGACGGAGCAACGCCGCGUGAGUGAUGAAGGUUUUCGGAUCGUAAAACUCUGUUGUUAGGGAAGAACAAGUACCGUUCGAAUAGGGCGGUACCUUGACGGUACCUAACCAGAAAGC
rnacentral:rRNA from 1 species